CACGUUCUCCUGAACGUCGGUGCACAUGUUCACAUUCUCCUGAACGUCGUCGAUGCACAUGUUCAUGUUCUCCUGAACAUUGGUGCACAUGUUGGUGCACAUGUUCAUGUUCUAACAUUGGUGCACAUGUUCACGUUCUCCUGAACGUCGUUGGUGCACAUGUUCACGUUCUCCUCCAUGACCCUGUAAACCUGUGUGAAUCUUGGUGUUUCUUUUUAAAAUUCAAAGUGAUGCAGAAUUCUUCUUCUAAUCUAAAUCAACUGUUUGUUUGUGUCGCAGUUUUUCACAGAAUAUGGACCUGACUACUCUCUGGAGAUCAGUCCAAGCUGUAGACCAGACCGCAACCACUCCAAACACCUGGACCAGGUCAUCAGCACCAUCAGAGGGAAUUUAAAGAAUGUGGUUUAGGAGCCGACGGCCUCAUUCUUACACACACACACACACACACACACACACACACACUGAUGUGCGGCGUGUUUAAUGAAGACAAUAUGGAGUGAAGCCCGGAGGCACAGAGAGAACGAUGGAGGGAUGAAGGGAGGAGAGAGAGAGAGAGAGAGAAGGUUUUGGAAAAAAACAUUUUCCGUGUGUUUCCAGAGGAAAACAGUUUCAUGUGUUCACCGUCUUUCAUGUGUUUUGUUCAGAAGCUACAGUUUGUGUGUCGGGUUUUCGUUGAAGUUCCCUGUUUGUUUGUUUGUUUUUAAAUAUUAUGGGAUGUGCAGGGGGGUUUGUAUGUGUAUGUGUGUGUGUGUUCUUGUCACUUUUACAUUUUACGGUAAAAACUGAUUUUUCAGGCGUUCACUUUCAUGUUUCACUGUGAUUUUUAAAUCCCUGAGGAAACAUGAGGAGAAAACACACACACACACACACACACAGCUGUAAAAAGACAGAAAAGAGUUUUGAAUGUAAUUUCACUCAUUAAUAAUUGAAAUGCUGUUUAUUGUCCCUGCAUGUUUUUUUUAUUAAAGGACAAAUCCACCUUUUCUCGUCUGUAACUGCUGCUCAAUGAGAGUUUCAAAGUUUUUCAGUGUGAAAUGAUAAUAAACGUGUGAAUGUGACGACAGCUUUCAUCACAUUUCAAACUAAUACAAUGUGCUUUUAUUUUGAAGGGGAAAACGUUCUUCUGUUACGCUGUUUGAAAAUAAAGAAAAUAAAUAAAUCACGUCCACAGGUU